rnacentral:rRNA from 1 species
UCCGUAGGUGAACCUGCGGAGGGAUCAUUACACAAUAAAAUACGAAGGCCGUUCGCGGCUGGACUAUUUAUUACCCUUGUCUUUUGCGCACUUGUUGUUUCCUGGGCGGGUUCGCUCGCCACCAGGACCACAAUAUAAACCUUUUUUAUGCAGUUGCAAUCAGCGUCAGUAUAACAAAUGUAAAUCAUUUACAACUUUCAACAACGGAUCUCUUGGUUCUGGCAUCGAUGAAGAACGCAGCGAAAUGCGAUACGUAGUGUGAAUUGCAGAAUUCAGUGAAUCAUCGAAUCUUUGAACGCACAUUGCGCCCUUUGGUAUUCCAAAGGGCAUGCCUGUUCGAGCGUCAUUUGUACCCUCAAGCUUUGCUUGGUGUUGGGCGUUUUUGUCUUUGGCCCGCCAAAGACUCGCCUUAAAAUGAUUGGCAGCCGGCCUACUGGUUUCGCAGCGCAGCACAUUUUUGCGCUUGCAAUCAGCAAAAGAGGACGGCAAUCCAUCAAGACUCCUUCUCACGUUUGACCUCGGAUCAGCAAGGGAUACCCGCUGAACUUAAGCAUAUCAAUAAGCGGAGGAA